UAGGGAAUCUUCCGCAAUGGGCGAAAGCUUGACGGAGCAACGCCGCGUGAGUGAUGAAGGGCUUCGGAUCGUAAAACUCUGUUAUUAGGGAAGAACAAAUGUGUAAGUAACUAUGCACGUCUUGACGGUACCUAAUCAGAAAGCCACGGCUAACUACGUGCCAGCAGCCGCGGUAAUACGUAGGUGGCAAGCGUUAUCCGGAAUUAUUGGGCGUAAAGCGCGCGUAGGCGGUUUUUUAAGUCUGAUGUGAAAGCCCACGGCUCAACCGUGGAGGGUCAUUGGAAACUGUAAUACUUGAGUGCAGAAGAGGAAAGUGGAAUUCCAUGUGUAGCGGUGAAAUGCGCAGAGAUAUCGAGGAACACCAGUGGCGAAGGCGACUUUCUGGUCUGUAACUGACGCUGAUGUGCGAAAGCGUGGAGAUCAAACAGG
rnacentral:rRNA from 1 species